GACGAACGCUGGCGGCAUGCUUAACACAUGCAAGUCGAACGGAAAGGCCCUGCUUUUGUGGGGUGCUCGAGUGGCGAACGGGUGAGUAACACGUGAGUAACCUGCCCUUGACUUUGGGAUAACUUCAGGAAACUGGGGCUAAUACCGGAUAGGAGCUCCUGCUGCAUGGUGGGGGUUGGAAAGUUUCGGCGGUUGGGGAUGGACUCGCGGCUUAUCAGCUUGUUGGUGGGGUAGUGGCUUACCAAGGCUUUGACGGGUAGCCGGCCUGAGAGGGUGACCGGCCACAUUGGGACUGAGAUACGGCCCAGACUCCUACGGGAGGCAGCAGUGGGGAAUAUUGCACAAUGGGCGGAAGCCUGAUGCAGCAACGCCGCGUGCGGGAUGACGGCCUUCGGGUUGUAAACCGCUUUCGCCUGUGACGAAGCGUGAGUGACGGUAAUGGGUAAAGAAGCACCGGCUAACUACGUGCCAGCAGCCGCGGUGAUACGUAGGGUGCGAGCGUUGUCCGGAUUUAUUGGGCGUAAAGGGCUCGUAGGUGGUUGAUCGCGUCGGAAGUGUAAUCUUGGGGCUUAACCCUGAGCGUGCUUUCGAUACGGGUUGACUUGAGGAAGGUAGGGGAGAAUGGAAUUCCUGGUGGAGCGGUGGAAUGCGCAGAUAUCAGGAGGAACACCAGUGGCGAAGGCGGUUCUCUGGGCCUUUCCUGACGCUGAGGAGCGAAAGCGUGGGGAGCGAACAGGCUUAGAUACCCUGGUAGUCCACGCUGUAAACGGUGGGUACUAGGUGUGGGGUCCAUUCCACGGGUUCCGUGCCGUAGCUAACGCUUUAAGUACCCCGCCUGGGGAGUACGGCUGCAAGGCUAAAACUCAAAGGAAUUGACGGGGCCCCGCACAAGCGGCGGAGCAUGCGGAUUAAUUCGAUGCAACGCGUAGAACCUUACCUGGGUUUGACAUGGAUCGGGAGUGCUCAGAGAUGGGUGUGCCUCUUUUGGGGUCGGUUCACAGGUGGUGCAUGGCUGUCGUCAGCUCGUGUCGUGAGAUGUUGGGUUAAGUCCCGCAACGAGCGCAACCCUUGUUCACUGUUGCCAGCACGUUAUGGUGGGGACUCAGUGGAGACCGCCGGGGUCAACUCGGAGGAAGGUGGGGAUGACGUCAAGUCAUCAUGCCCCUUAUGUCCAGGGCUUCACGCAUGCUACAAUGGCUGGUACAGAGAGUGGCGAGCCUGUGAGGGUGAGCGAAUCUCGGAAAGCCGGUCUCAGUUCGGAUUGGGGUCUGCAACUCGACCUCAUGAAGUCGGAGUCGCUAGUAAUCGCAGAUCAGCAACGCUGCGGUGAAUACGUUCCCGGG
rnacentral:rRNA from 1 species